rnacentral:lncRNA from 1 species
GAUGUACAGUCUUCUUCUCUUUCCUUUCUAUCGAUCAAUCAAUCAAAUCAUUGUUGAUCUUCUUUUUGGUAUCUAGUUACACACAGGAAGCAAUUCAAUUAAGCGCGAAGCUUCUAGCAAUCAAUCCGGAGGCCUACACGGCUUGGAACUAUCGGAAGCUCGCCGUCGAGGAUAACCUUUCCCGAAUCGACGACUCUGAUCCAAGCUUGGUCAACUCAAUUCUCAAUGAAGAACUUGAAGUCGUGAGUGCUUGGUUUAAUAUAUAGAACUCAAUUCUCAAUUCACUCAUUCGUUGAUGUGUUAGAUUGGUUGCUUCACAUCCCAUUCAUGUCAAUUUUGCUCAUCGAUUGCCUUUUCUUGUUGAUUCAGGUAGCAAUUGCCCUUCGACGAAAUAUCAAGUCCUAUGGGGCUUGGUAUCAUCGAAAGUGGAUUUUGAAUAAAUAUCAAAAGCUCGAUCUCAGGAACUUUCACGCUUGGAACUAUCGCAGGUGAGAGAUUCAGGGAAUUGCUUCACAUUGUCAAUCAGCUUUUGCAUAUAUCAUAUCUUGUCUUGUUCCUUUUUCCAGGUUUGUUGUGGAGCUAACCAAGACGUCACCACAGGAUGAGUUGCAGUAUACAACUGAUUUAAUCAAUGAUGUUAGUUUUAGCAACUAUUCUGCGUGGCACAAUCGUAGGUAUGCAUAUUUAAAUUAAUGGAGGCAUUUGUGGGCUAGAUUGAUGGUCAGAGAGAUAUAUAAUUUGCUUAUCAACUAUACUUUCUUUUUUGUUUGGUUGAUACUACCAGUAUACCACCAUAUUUGAUGGAAUAUUAGCACAACUAUAGCUUCUUGAUCUAGUAAGCAAAGAAUUUUUUAUCCACAGUGGCUCUAUUAUUAGCUGAAAAUAUGAUCCGUUAAUUCUGCAGUGCACUUCUUUCAAGUUUAGUCGCAAAAAAGGCUGAUGGGUUUAUGCCAAAGGAAACGAUUCGUCGUGAAUUAGAUUAUGUACAUAAUGCUAUUUUUACGGACGAAGAUGACCAAAGCGCCUGGUUUUAUUAUCUCUGGCUUCUUGAUCAAACUGUUAAAAUGGAGACUCCUCUUCGCACUUCCUCGUGGCCUUCUGAUGGUUCCAUUAUCAUUCUAUCUGGACCUGGGUGCUUCAAUGGCUCUUCUUCUUCUAAGUUCACUACUUUCUGUUCCGAGUCUGCUUCUUUUCCACUGAUUCUUUACUUUGACCAAGCCGUCAGUGGAGUAAGCUCGUCUACUGUUACUAUUGAUUCUGAACUACAAGGAAAUCAGGACCUUGUUUGGGAACCAGUUUCGGAUAAAAACUCUCAACUGUCUUGUGUAUGGGUUGCUCGUCUGAAAUUUGACAGUACUGAACCUUGCUUUCGCAAGGAAAACAAAGUGAAGGUCAGCCUUGGGAAGUCUCAAGGAAUUGUUUCUUCCAGGGGAUGUAACUUGAGCGCUCCUUUUGAGUUUGUAUUUACAGUGCAUAUUCAUGACACUGUCGGAGAGCCACAAGAAGGCAUUGUUUCGUGGACGGAUGGUUUUGACAAUUGGGAUGCACAGUCGAAGGAUUUGAAUUCUCUUAUCACCUCGUAUCAGUUAAACGCUGAUACAGGUUUUGAGUGGCGUAAGCAAGCUAUAAAGACAGAGAUUGAAUGUUUUCGUGAUUUGCAUGACAGGUAUAAAUAAUCCUGUAAACUUUCUAGAUUUAAUGGAAAAGAGAAAUUGUAGUCUUGACCUUCUGAGUUCUUCUUUCCUUUUUUGUAGCAAAUUUGGAAAGCUCAUUCUUGCAAGGCUUUUGAUGGCUGAGGAAACUAUGAUCUCGGAUGAUGCUGUUAAGGGUGUCCAUUAUGUUGAAAUCCUCCAGCUGUAUAACGAUCUGAUGGUUCUUAAUUCUUCGCAUUACCAGUACUACAAGGAUGAGCACAGCGUAGCUCUUCUCCACAAGGUACUUAGUCUUCCUUUUAGCUGUGAAUCUCAAAGUUGUAUGAGUCAUAAAGAGAAUGUUGAUGCACAGGUGACUUCAAGCACCGAAUCCCUGUCCAGACACCUCUUUCUGUACAGGAAUAUGAACAAUAUUGUAUGUCUAAGGCUCAGUAACUUAACAUUAUCUCGGAUAGCCACUGUCGAGAAGUUUCUAUUUGUCCAAAUGUUAGAUCUCAGUUACAAUGACCUUCAUUCCGCUGAAGGUAUGUAGUGUUUUCUAACGCUUUGAUUGAGUCUUGAAUAUCAGUUUUUGCAUAUGUGUGAUAUAAUAUGGGUCUGUAGGAUUGGAGGCGAUGCAGCUUCUCUGUUGCCUAAAUCUGUGUCACAACAGAAUCAGGAGCUUUUCAGCCCUUGAUUCUCUAAGACAUCUGAAGCAGCUUAGAGUGUUGGAUGUUUCACAUAACGACAUGGGCGGCAAGCACCCAGUGGACACAACAGGGUACCUUUGUUCUAGGCCGCUCUCUAAUUCGGCUGAAAUUGGAAGACAGGUGCCUUGUAAAUACUGGGAUGCGUAUUUGGUGCUUAGAGAUUUGAAGAAACUGAAGCAGUUAGAUAUAAUAAGAGGCAACGACCUAAUUGCAGGGGAAGAGUUCAGCUCCUUUGUCCGCCAGGUUCUUCCAAAGCUUGUAUGGCUUGAUGGCCACAAACUCGCUAGUUAAAAUAUAAAUGUUAGGCCACUUCCUUUUUUUUCUUUUUAAUCUAUUGUUUUUUGGUUCAGUUUGAUGAUCUUAAAUAAGAAAACCAAGUCAAGUCUAUAAAAAGAUAAUUUUAAAAAUUAAUCAAUAAUUACUAGUUUUCUGAGUAAUUUAAAAAAUCCUAGAAUCACAAACACGCUUGUGCUCCUCCAGGAAGGGAGAAGGCUUGAUUAGUUACGUCUUCAACAACACGCUUGAGUUCAGCUUUCGCUGUCUUAACAGAUUUUUCGGUAGGCCCUUCAACGAACAAAUAGAGCUUGCGUUCCCCAGGUCCCGUGAUACGUCCUGCCUCAUAAAACUUACCUCUUCGUAAUGGAAGCUCUACUCUACUCUCAUAUUGGUUCAAGCGUUUCUUUGUGGGUAACUUUCCACUGAGCAUUCUGUGGGAAAUCAUUGAUUUCCAACUCUGCUUCAUAGUAUUGAGCUUGAAUCUUUGCAAGGUAGUGUUGCACGUUAGCACUUAGCAGCAGCAACAACAAUGGCUGCAACGCGGCCUGCUCCAUCAGUAGGAGGGACCACCUGGCUCGGUGGCUAGCCCGACAGCAUUUGGCAGCAAUUGGUUAGCAGUCACAGGAGCUUUUGCAGGAGCAGCAAUGGCGGCUAUCUGAGCAAGAGUAAUCUGCUGCUGUGAGAUAUCACCACCAGCCUUUGUUACUACAUCAUUCUCAUCUUCUGAGUCAGACUUCUCUUCCUCAAAGCCAUACUCCUUUGCUUGUGCUUUCUUUGCAGCUUUCCUAACUUCAUCCUCCUCUUCGUUGAAUUUAAAGCCACUGCCACCAUAGCCAGUUCCAUGAGCAUGCUCAAUACCCUGUUUUACUUUCGCCAGGAACUGGCUCCUCAGAUAGUUCCAGGGCCUUGACUAAAUCUGGUGCAUAUUUUGCAUCAUCCUCAGAGAGAAAUGUUACAGCACAGCCUUUCCGUCCUGCCCUACCUGUCCUGCCAACACGAUGCACAUAGUCUUCAUAGUGGUUUGGUGCAUCGAAGUUUACAACCAACUCAAGCUCUUUCACAUCUAGGCACCUCGCUGCAACACUUGUGGCAAUCAACAAAUUGCAGACAUUGUUCUUUUUUUUUUUUUUUUUGUCAAUCAUGCAGACAUUGUUCUUAAAAUCAGAUAUAGCUGAUUCACGAUCAGUCUGUUCCUUACCCCCGUGAAGAGAUAGACAGGCGUAGCCACAUUUGGUCAUCAAAUCAUUUCCUCUUCAUCCAUUCUCAGAGACAGUAACAGCUGUCUCAUUCUCCGAGUCGAUCAUCUUGGCAUCUCCACCAUUUUCGAGUUUAGUAUCACCAUUAACAUCCACGUCUGAGUCUGAUUUAUCUUCAUCAUCAGAUUCACCUUCAAGAGUCCAAGCCUUAAAGGCCUCAGGGCCCUUACUUUCAAUUUGAGCUUCCUCCUUUUCUUGCACAAAAGUCAUUUGCACAAAAGUCAUUUGCACAAAAGUCAUUUUCCAAAUUCACCACACUCUGUUCCUUCCGGUCUACUAAACGAGAGGCAAUUCCAAAAACCCGAAUCGUAAUUUUCAAUUGAACCGGUAUCGUAAUUUUCAAUUGAGCUAGGUUUACUAGGACCGGUUCCUUAAUCAUAUAUAUAUAUACACAGUAGUUGUUCUUAGGUUUCCCGUGAACUUGUGAAAACCCAAAUCCAAAUCCAAAUUGGAGAAGAAGAAUGCACGGUCGUCCGAGGAAGGCGGCUUCGAAGCCAGAAGCCUCGGCUGCUAAAGCCUUAAAGCUCCGGUCGGUCCAGUCCCAGUUCAUGUCCAAUCACCAUCGAAAGAUGUACAGUCUUCUUCUCUUUCCUUUCUAUCGAUCAAUCAAUCAAAUCAUUUGUUGAUCUUCUUUUUGGUAUCUAGUUACACACAGGAAGCAAUUCAAUUAAGCGCGAAGCUUCUAGCAAUCAAUCCGGAGGCCUACACGGCUUGGAACUAUCGGAAGCUCGCCGUCGAGGAUAACCUUUCCCGAAUCGACGACUCUGAUCCAAGCUUGGUCAACUCAAUUCUCAAUGAAGAACUUGAAGUCGUGAGUGCUUGGUUUAAUAUAUAGAACUCAAUUCUCAAUUCACUCAUUGGUUGAUGUGUUAGAUUGGUUGCUUCACAUCCCAUUCAUGUCAAUCGAUUGCCUUUUCGUGUUGAU